rnacentral:rRNA from 1 species
UACAGAGGGGGCAAGCGUUAUUCGGAAUUAUUGGGCGUAAAGGGCGCGUAGGCGGCCUGGCAAGUGACGGGUGAAGGCCCUCGGCUUAACCGAGGAACUGCCUGUCAGACUGUUAGGCUUGAGACCGGGAGAGGUGAGUGGAAUUCCCAGUGUAGCGGUGAAAUGCGUAGAUAUUGGGAGGAACACCAGUGGCGAAGGCGGCUACCUGGACCGGUUCUGACGCUGAGGCGCGAAAGCGUGGGUAGCAAACAGG